rnacentral:rRNA from 1 species
AUUGAACGCUGGCGGCAGGCCUAACACAUGCAAGUCGAGCGAGCGGCGGACGGGUGAGUAAUGUCUGGGAAACUGCCUGAUGGAGGGGGAUAACUACUGGAAACGGUAGCUAAUACCGCAUACCAUCAGAUGUGCCCAGAGGGGAUUAGCUAGUAGGUGGGGUAAUGGCUCACCUAGGCGACGAUCCCUAGCUGGUCUGAGAGGAUGACCCGCCAAACUGGAACUGAGACACGGUCCAGACUCUUACGGGAGGCAGAAGUGGGGAAUAUUGCACAAGGGGGGCAAGCCUGAUGCAGACAUGCCGCAUGUGUGAAGAAGGCCUUCGGGUUGUAAAGCACUUUCAGCGGGGAGGAGUUACCCGCAGAAGAAGCACCGGCUAACUCCGUGCCAGCAGCCGCGGUAAGAC